rnacentral:rRNA from 1 species
UAAGUUGAUAGUGAAAGAGUCCGGCUCAACCGGAUAGACAUUAUCAAAACUGCAAAGCUAGAGGAUGAGAGAGGUUAUUGGAAUUCCUAGUGUAGGAGUGAAAUCCGUAGAUAUUAGGAGGAACACCGAUGGCGUAGGCAGAUAACUGGCUCAUUCCUGACACUAAGGCACGAAAGCGUGGGGAGCAAACGGGAUUAGAUACCCCGGUAGUCCACGCCGUAAACGAUGGAUGCUA